GGGUCGUUAGCUCAGUUGGUAGAGCAGCUGGCUUUUAACCAGUAGGUCGCAGGUUCGAUCCCUGCACGACCCA
rnacentral:tRNA from 1 species